rnacentral:rRNA from 1 species
UACGUAGGGGGCAAGCGUUGUCCGGAUUCAUUGGGCGUAAAGAGCGUGUAGGCGGCCAGGUAGGUCGGUUGUGAAAACUCGAGGCUCAACCUCGAGACGCCGAUGGAAACCAUGUGGCUAGAGUCCGGAAGAGGAGAGUGGAAUUCCUGGUGUAGCGGUGAAAUGCGCAGAUAUCAGGAAGAACACCCGUGGCUAAGGCGGCUCUCUAGUACGGUACUGACGCUGAGACGCGAAAGCGUGGGGAGCGAACAGG